UAGGGAAUCUUCCACAAUGGACGCAAGUCUGAUGGAGCAACGCCGCGUGAGUGAAGAAGGUUUUCGGACCGUAAAGCUCUGUUGUUGGUGAAAGAAGGAUAGAGGUAGUAACUGGCCUUUAUUUGACGGUAAUCAACCAGAAAGUCACGGCUAACUACGUGCCAGCAGCCGCGGUAAAUACGUAGGUGGCAAGCGUUGUCCGGAUUUAUUGGGCGUAAAAGCGAGCGCAGGCGGAAGAAUAAGUCUGAUGUGAAAGCCCUCGGCUUAACCGAGGAAAU
rnacentral:rRNA from 1 species